UACGGAGGGGGCUAGCGUUGUUCGGAAUUACUGGGCGUAAAGCGCACGUAGGCGGCUUUGUAAGUUAGAGGUGAAAGCCCGGGGCUCAACCCCGGAAUUGCCCUUGAGACUGCAUCGCUAGAAUUGUGGAGAGGUAAGUGGAAUUCCGAGUGUAGAGGUGAAAUUCGUAGAUAUUCGGAAGAACACCAGUGGCGAAGGCGACUUACUGGACACAUAUUGACGCUGAGGUGCGAAAGCGUGGGGAGCAAACAGG
rnacentral:rRNA from 1 species